GGCCCCGCCCCCACACUGGUCAGCUGACGUGACGUUGGGGGCAGUCUGGUGCAUUUGCUGGACGUAUUUAAGCACCUUCCCAGCUCUUCAGCCAGUGGCCAUUUUCUAUGCAGGCCUUACAGCUGUCACUAGCUGUGGCCAUCCUACUCGCAUUCCAGAUACCUACCUGUACUAUAAGGAUACACUACAAUUUUACUUUACCCAUGGUCGCUGUGCUGUCUGGGAGGGAUGCUUUAUGCGCUCUGCUGUUUGCCUGCUGGUCUGCCACCUCUGUCCCGGGACAGGCAUAUGUUUGGUCUUAACUGUAUUUACAUUACCACUUUGACAUACUAUAUAUCCCACUACAUCCGCCCCUGAUGAGUGUUUUUCAUAU